AGUCAUGAAGAGUGUAGCAGAAAGAAGCUGUAGGAAGGGAGUCUGCAAUCAUUAUCUGGGGUAGAGAAGAAGUAGGAAGUAGUGCAGGGAGAGACCAAGGAGUCUGAGGCAUUAGACUUUGGCUGCUGGCUCCAGGGUCCCUAGGCUGGAACCUAGAGUAGAAUGAGGACCUAGGUUACCCUACCAGCCACUGAAGAAGGUGGGGGUAAAACCCCCUGAGGUAAGGGGUUUAAGGACCACAGAGCCUAAAAAGCAACAGAAGACCUGCUGUAAGGUCAUUGGACUAUAGCUUGGUUGGACUCUGUUAACCUGGAAGGGGUGGACUAAAGCGUGACCUGGCCAGGAAAGCCAAGUUGCUGGAAGAGAGAUCACUGUAGUGACAGAGUGACCAUCAGCUGGGGGAACCAUACAGGGAAACAGCCACUAUGCCAGGAGUGGGCAAACUUUUUGGCCCGAGGGCCACAUUGGCAUUGUGAAACUGUAUGGAGGGACAGGUAGAGAAGGCUGUGCCUCCCCAAACAGCCUGGUCCCCACCUCCUAUCUGCCCCCCCCACUAACCUCCCUCAAAAUCCCCAUCCAACCCCACCUGCUUCUUGUCCCCUGACCACAUCCUUCUGGGACCCCCUGGCCCUAACCGCCCCCUAGAACUCCACCUCCAUCCAACCCCCUGUCCCCUGAGUGCCCCAACCCCUAUCCACACCCCCACCCCCUGACAGGCCACCAGGGACUCCCAUACCUAUCCAACCACUCUCUGUCCCCUAACUGCCCUCCCAGGACCCUCUGCCCCUUAUUCAACCCCCCUUCCCCAUAUCAUGCAGUUCAGAGCAGUAGCAGCUUGCAGCCUGGCUGGAGCGCAUGGCGGUGUUGUUGUGGGGGAGAGGGGACAGCAGGGGAGGGCCCAGGGGAUAGCCUCCCUGACCAGGAGCUCAAAGGCCAGGCAGGACGGUCCCGCGGGCCGUAGUUUGCCCACCUCUGCACUAUGCCAUGCCUGGCUACAAGAAGAUGCACCUAUGAGCAUGGUAGAAAAUGCGAGUCUGUAAAUCUAGUAUUAAAUCUUUUAAAACCUUAGACUUUGGACAAGGUGAUCUACUAGGAGGUCAGCAAAGAACCUAUCAGAUUGCUGCACAGUGGCUGCACAAAUGCCACAACCCAUAGCAGCUAAUAGAACCUGGGGCCCCUGCAUGCCCCUGUGCCAGGAGUUUAGGCCUGUGGAUCCAAAAAAGUAUUGAAUUUUCUAGUCCUUCACAGAGCUCUCGCACGCUUCUAAGGAAACGGGCCCCAUGCAGCACAGCACAGCUCAACAAUACACUGCCGGUGUGGAGUAUCAACUUCAUAGACUGCUUCCAAAGCAGUGGAUCCCAUAGCAACUCCAUUGCAUCAAGCGCCUUCCAUGCCUGUGGGGUGCAGAAAGCAGCAUUUGUCCCCAAAUACUGAAAAUUUUGAAUAAUUCCUCUGCAAUUGGUUCUGAUGCAAGAUGAUUCACUGAGAUGAAAGUGCACAAUCUCCCAAUAGUGUGCAAUCACUUCAUCAUCAAAAUAAUUUACUGCAUUGAUAUAAAUGAGGAUGCCAAUGUAUUUUGAAGAUCUCAAUGGAGGAUGUCAGUGUAUUUUGCUGAAAAAUUAGAGGAGCACUUCCAGUCUUCGGAUCAUAUUUUAACAUCAUUUUAACAACUAGAAUCUUAAAAAGGUUAUGUUGCCUUCUCAAGGAUUAUUUUGGGAUGAUGGCUGAUGGAGAUUUGGUCAGCUGUUUAACAGUCUUCCUUUCUCUCUCCUCAAGGAAGAGAGUCUUGCAUUAUAGGAUGAAUGCUUCCACCUGAGCUCAAGAAUCUUUUAGCAAUGUCCACAGCUUAAGGUCCUAGCUAGAAGAAGUGGCAAAGAAAUAAAAUUAUUUAUAUUUUAACCAUGUAUGUAAUAGUAGGACAGCCAACUGUUUCUGAUAAUGCAUAACAAAUGCAAUGAUAGCAAUAGAUAAAAUAAUAAUUUCUAAAUAUAUAGAGAUUUUAAUGAACAGGUUAUAAAAUACACUAGUACUGAAUAUUGUAUUGUAUUUGUGUAACUCAGCUAAUGCAGAUA